rnacentral:rRNA from 1 species
UACGUAGGGUGCAAGCGUUAUCCGGAAUUAUUGGGCGUAAAGAGCUCGUAGGCGGUUUGUCGCGUCUGCUGUGAAAACUGGAGGCUCAACCUCCAGCCUGCAGUGGGUACGGGCAGACUAGAGUGCGGUAGGGGCAGGCGGAAUUCCGGGUGUAGCGGUGGAAUGCGUAGAGAUCCGGAGGAAGACCGAUGGCGAAGGCAGCCCCCUGGGCCAACACUGACGCUCAGGCACGAAAGCGUGGGGAGCAAACAGGG